rnacentral:rRNA from 2 species
CCUAUCAGCUUGUUGGUGGGGUGAUGGCCUACCAAGGCGGUGACGGGUAGCCGGCCUGAGAGGGCGACCGGCCACACUGGGACUGAGACACGGCCCAGACUCCUACGGGAGGCAGCAGUGGGGAAUAUUGCGCAAUGGGCGGAAGCCUGACGCAGCGACGCCGCGUGGGGGAUGACGGCCUUCGGGUUGUAAACCUCUUUCGCCAGGGACGAAGAGUGAUUGACGGUACCUGGAGAAGAAGCACCGGCCAACUACGUGCCAGCAGCCGCGGUAACACGUAGGGUGCGAGCGUUGUCCGGAAUUAUUGGGCGUAAAGAGCUCGUAGGCGGUGUGUCGCGUCGGCCGUGAAAACUUGGGGCUUAACUCUGAGCGUGCGGUCGAUACGGGCAUCACUUGAGUUCGGCAGGGGAGACUGGAAUUCCUGGUGUAGCGGUGAAAUGCGCAGAUAUCAGGAGGAACACCGGUGGCGAAGGCGGGUCUCUGGGCCGAUACUGACGCUGAGGAGCGAAAGCGUGGGGAGCGAACAGGAUUAGAUACCCUGGUAGUCCACGCCGUAAACGUUGGGCGCUAGGUGUGGGGACCAUUCCACG